rnacentral:rRNA from 1 species
GGGGAGUGAGUGUCAAGUCAGCAUGGCCUUUAUAUCCUGGGCUACACACACGCUACAAUGGCCAACACAAUAGGUUGCUAAGCCGCGAGGUGGCGCCAAUCCAUAAAGUUGGUCUCAGUUCAGAUUGUAGGCUGCAACCCGCCUGCAUGAAGAUGGAGUUGCUAGUAACCGCAGGUCAGCUAUACUGCGGUGAAUACGUUCCCGGGGCUU